rnacentral:rRNA from 1 species
AAAUUUGAAAUCUGGUAGCCUUCGGUUGCCCGAGUUGUAAUCUAGAGAAGUGUUUUCCGUGCCGGCCCAUGUACAAGUCCCUUGGAACAGGGCGUCAUAGAGGGUGAGAAUCCCGUCCUUGACAUGGACCCCCGGUGCUUUGUGAUACACUUUCAACGAGUCGAGUUGUUUGGGAAUGCAGCUCAAAAUGGGUGGUGAAUUCCAUCUAAAGCUAAAUAUUGGCGAGAGACCGAUAGCGAACAAGUACCGUGAGGGAAAGAUGAAAAGCACUUUGGAAAGAGAGUUAAACAGUACGUGAAAUUGUUGAAAGGGAAACGAUUGAAGUCAGUCAUGCUCUUGGGACUUACCUCCCUUGAGUGGGGUCAACAUCAGUUUUGAUCGAUGGAUAAAGGCACGGGGAAGGUAGCACUCUCGGGUGAACUUAUAGCCUCGCGUCAUAUACAUUGAUUGGGACUGAGGAACGCAGCAUGCCUUUUGGCCGGGAUUCGUCCACGUACAUGCUUAGGAUGUUGACAUAAUGGCUUUAAACGACCCGUCUU